ensembl:lncRNA
CAAAAAAAGAGAGCGUUUGUUUGUGUGAGAGUCAGAGAGUAGCAGAGAGAGAUAGAGAGAGUAAGAGAGGGAGGGAGAGAAAGGAAGAGCAGAAGCGAGCCAGAUAGAAAGAGAGAUAGAGGGUGUGAGGGAGAGAAAGGGAGAGGAGGAGAGAGAAGGAGGAAGAGCGAGAGAAAAAUAGUGAGAGGAGGAGCGCGGGGUCGGAGGGGAGGCUGAGUGUUGGUUUCACCUCCUAAUCGGUUUCCCUUGGAGAUCUGUCAUCGACUGCAGUGGAGGAGCAUUAGAGGGAGCAGGUACGGGAAGGGGAGAGGAAGCUAUUACAUCUCAGCUCCGUGACUUCGCCCGUACAUCUCUUCACCCAUCCAGCCAUCCAGAGGAGGAUCAGCGGACGAGUGUGGAGCGGUUCUCCGCCAUACAUGCCCAAGGCACAGCAACAGAGCGGCGCUGGUUGCCAGGAGACAGCUGACUGAAGCCAUGGAGACGCCCCUCUGCACCCCACACAACAUCCAGAUCUG